GAUCCACAACCAGCCGACCGCCCGGCGCCUUACAGCCCCAGCACCCGCGCAGGAACCAAGUUGCUACCGGGUUCUUUGCCCGGGUGGCAACGUUUCCUUCCGGACCCUUCCGGAGCCCAGCAGUCAAAACAAAGCACUGAAUUGAAUCCUGCUGGUUGCUGGAAUUUAGCAGUAGUGGAAGCCAGUUGGUGGCAGCAGAAGAGGCCAGAUAGGAGACAGAAUGGCAAAGAAGAAAGCUGGGAUUAAAAAAGAUCAAGUGGACUUAGAAAGAGAACCCAGGAUGGUGAAAUGGCUUUAGUGGUAAAGGAUCUUGCUUCCAAGCCCAAGGACCCGAGUUUAAGCCUGAGAACCUAUGUGAAGACUGAGUCUCAUGACCCACAUGGAGGCGUGGAUCUCCAUGAUUAAAGUGCUGGCAUCUGGAAAAAUCAAAAGUCGAAACAGCACCACUGACAACUGUGACAGUGACACUUUCCUGAGCUCCCUUCCUGGGUCCUCCUUUAGAUAUGGAUCCUUCAUUGACUGCAAGUGACCCUGAAGCAUGCGAUGGAUUCACUGAAACAUCAUGGAUUCCUCUUUGUCUCCUCCAGCCCCGGGCCAUCAAGGACACUGUGGAAGUCACCAGAAAGAUAGCAAACCUCCCUCCAGCUAAACGGCAAAAGGAGAUAUCAAUCAUAUCACCAGAAGUCAAGUCUGCCCACCUGGGGCCAAGUUACAGCUCUAUGCACCAAGGGAGAAGUUAUUUUACUAAUGACUCUGUGUUUCUGACUGGACCUUGAGACCAUAAAAGAUUCAUUCAUCCAUCUGAAGAAGGGACUGCAUUUAAUUUUUCCUUGGUAUUUGAAUCACUUCCCAUUUGCAUAGGCCAUCAUAACACUUGUAUUCCUAUUAAAGACAAAUAUGGGCUUAUGUUCUUUCUACAAGAUACUAGAACUACUAAUCAUUUGGGUCUCUUUUCAAGCUAGUCUCUAGAUUUUUCUGAUUAAUAUAAUGUAACUAAUAGUACAGGACAUAGUUUGUAUCUCUAUGCUUGGUGCUUCUUGGUGGCAGAGUAUUACACACAAUGCUUUCACUGUUCUAAUAUAAUUUGCUUGCUUAUAGGAUACUCAUCAAAUGACAACUAGAUUUAUCUAUAACAUCUCAAAUCAAAACCACUUUGCAUAUCCUGCAAUCAAAAACUAAAAAGGGGUGAGAUAGAUGUCGCAACAUGAUCCAAGAAUGGAGUCAUGUGAGGGGAAUUCCGAGUGCUUGUGAGAAAACUCCAAGAAAACAAGAGUCUGUGACUCUAGUGCCUUCAAAAAACAGAAUUGUUCUUGGAAUGUGUUUUUGUGUUCCUCCCAUGUGUAGCUGAUAGGAGUGAGUUUACUUCAGGUGUUGUUAUUCAUAUGCCUCUAUGAGAAAAUAUGUUGUUUUUUUUGCCAUGUGUGGCUUGUCCUUGUGGUUGUAUACUUUACUCGGGUGAUUCUUCCUAACUCUCAGAGUAUAAAUUAUCUGAUGUGCUGAAUAAAGUUGACUAUUGCAUGCGA